rnacentral:lncRNA from 1 species
AUGUGGAUACAACUCCAAAAAUGACUAAUGGGGAUUUUCCCACCAGAUCCACUGGGCUCUCUCCCUGUCCUUUUCUUUCUCUUGCCACCUUUAUGUGCAUUUUGGGGUUCAAACUCAGGUCAAUAGGCUUGUGCCACAAGCCUGUUAUCUACUAAGUCAUCUCACUAAACCCCAUACUUGGAUCUUAUGUAAACUCACAGGUGAUGAUGCAGUUGGAGGAUGGACUGAAGUGUUAGCACCAUAGAUCUCUCUGUUUAGCUGGUUACCUGAGCAGCCCCAUUGAACUUCUUUGGCUCUGGACAGUAAUGUUGGAGAAAGUGUGCUCCUUCCCAGAGUCUAGGUGACAGUGUAUUCCCAUGUCUCAAAUAUCACAUGGUCCUUUGCUAAUGCCUUGGUGUUCACAGAAGUGGUGUCAUGCUGAUUCCAAAAGAAAGGUGGCAUAGGAGAUACAGUCUCACAGAGACAUGUUCUUUCACUAUCUUGCUGGUAUUUUCCUCCACCAAGUACAAUCCACCUGUCUACUUCCAAGAAGGACCUUAUCUUUUUAUGAGAGAACCAGUUCUCCUCUUCUAGCUUUAUCACAUGCCAUGUCCUCUUCUAGUGCAAGCACUUCUGUGGAAUUGACUCAAUGGGUUUUAACAUCUGAGAAUGAAGUCCCUCAUCUGACAGUCAAUGCUAUCCAGGCUGAAGUCUCAAAUCCUCAUAACUUUGAACACAGAAUAAAAUGAGUGUGCUCUAAAAUAA